AUAUUGGACAAUGCCCGCAAGGGUGAUCCAGCCAUGCCGCGUGCAGGAAGAAGGCCCUAUGGGUCGUAAACUGCUUUUGAACAAGAGAAAACCCUCCGACGUGUCGGAGGCUGAUAGUAUUGUUAGAAUAAGCAUCGGCUAACUUCGUGCCAGCAGCCGCGGUAAGACGAAGGAUGCAAGCGUUAUCCGGAUUCAUUGGGUUUAAAGGGUGCGUAGGCGGCCUUGUAAGUCAGUGGUGAAAUCUUCUCGCUUAACGAGAAAACUGCCAUUGAUACUGCUAGGCUUGAGUACAGAUGCUGUGGGCGGAAUAUGACAUGUAGUGGUGAAAUACAUAGAGAUGUCAUAGAACACCGAUUGCGAAGGCAGCUCACAAAACUGUAACUGACGCUGAGGCACGAAAGUGCGGGGAUCAAACAGGA
rnacentral:rRNA from 1 species